rnacentral:tRNA from 1 species
GCCUGGGUGGCUCAGUCGGUUAAGCGGCCGACUUCGGCUCAGGUCAUGAUCUCACCGUUAAUGGGUUCGAAUCCCAUGCUGGGCU